rnacentral:lncRNA from 1 species
AUAAAAAGGAAAACCUUCUUUCCUCCACCAAUAGGUUUGAAUGAUGCAAAGCAGGUCAGGUUGGAAAGGAAAAAAAAGGUGCUCUGUAAAAUUCAGAGCCAAGAAAGAGUUCACAUUGAGUCUGUGACAGAGACUGCCUUUAAAGAGCCCUCCCAUCAGUAGAAAGUGCUAUUCUCCAGGUGAUAUCACACGUAUUUUUAAUGCCAAUUCGUGUCAGUUAUUGACACUAUGUUUUGACGUGAGACUAUACAAAAACUGGCUUUUUAUCGAGCUCUCAGAAUUUCCUCUGUUGGGAAUUUCCUGUCUCAAGAAGGAGGAGAACAAGCAUAGCAGCUGUGGCAGGACCUGAGCUCCAAAGCCAGAAGGCUCCUAAGGUCCCCCUGGAGAGCAGCAAGGAUCUCUGGAACUGUGCUUUCAACAAGGACUACUGCAAAGGUGACACUCAAUUUCUGCAGCAGAGGCAAGCAGAUGGCUCUUCAUGGCUCCCCACUGACCAGGCCACAGAGUGGCCUUGAUGGCAGCCAGUUGCCUGCCCUUUCAGGGUGAGACAUAUGAAUACAGCUGCUCUUUGGGGAGAGAACUGGACAAGAAAGGAAGAAAAAUGACUGUCUAGAGGAGAAAAAGUGAAGCAGGAAAGAGGAGGCCAGAACAACAGGCUCACUUAGAAUUUGUUCAUUUUACCAAAUAAUUGCUGCAGAGGAAUAAAGACCAUUGAUAUACAGUCUCAGUCAUGUCAUGGGACAAAGCAUAACAUUCAAUCUGAC